rnacentral:rRNA from 1 species
AUGAACGCUGGCGGCGUGCCUAAUACCUGCCAGUCGAGCGAACAGACGAGGAGCUUGCUCCUCUGACGUUAGCGGCGGACGGGUGAGUAACACGUGGAUAACCUACCUAUAAGACUGGGAUAACUUCGGGAAACCGGAGCUAAUACCGGAUAAUAUAUUGAACCGCAUGGUUCAAUAGUGAAAGACGGUUUUGCUGUCACUUAUAGAUGGAUCCGCGCCGCAUUAGCUAGUUGGUAAGGUAACGGCUUACCAAGGCAACGAUGCGUAGCCGACCUGAGAGGGUGAUCGGCCACACUGGAACUGAGACACGGUGCAGACUCCUACGGGAGGCAGCAGUAGGGAAUCUUCCGCAAUGGGCGAAAGCUUGACGGAGCAACGCCGCGUGAGUGAUGAAGGUCUUCGGAUCGUAAAACUCUGUUAUUAGGGAAGAACAAAUGUGUAAGUAACUAUGCACGUCUUGACGGUACCUAAUCAGAAAGCCACGGCUAACUACGUG